AUGGGAACUAAUGGAAGAAGAAUGAGGCCUGUUAUGGAACUGAUGGAAUUCCUGUGGGAGCAGGUAACUUCAGGCCUUUCAGAGGUGGGCAGAGCUCGGGAACCGGUUUCUACGGACAGAGGACGCGUUGCUAAGGGACGGAAGGGUGGGGGCGGGGCGAGUAACCCGCGGAGCCAGAGAGGGAGGAAAGGAGAUGAGAGUAGGCUUUUGAUAUUGCAGAAGUAUAGUAAUGAUGACACUGAAGAUGUUUCACUGUUUGAUGUGGAAGAGGAGAUGACUAACAGACCAAGAAAAUAGAAAAUCAGACAUCCAGUAGUCAUCGUUUUUCCACUUUUCUUUCGAGUCAGUGCAAUCGUUACCUAUCUUCUCUGUGAGUUGCUCAGCAGCAGCUUUAUUAUCUGUAUGGUGACAAUUAUCUUGUUGUCAUGUUACUUUUUGGCAGUGAAGAAUGUCACAGGUAGACUAAUGAUUGGCCUACCUUGCUGGAAUCACAAGUUGAUGAAGAUGAAAGCCAUUGGGUGUUUGAAUCUAGAAAGGAAUACUUUCAAGAGAAUAAAACUGUGUCCAAGGCUGAAUCAAGAAUCUUUUGGUUGGGACUUACUGCCUGUCCAGUGCUGUGGGUGAUAUUUGCCUUUAGUGCCCUCUUCUUCAGAGUAAAGUGGUUAGUGGUGGUUAUCAUGGGUGUGGUGCUACAAGGUGCCAACCUGUAUGGUUAUAUCAGAUGUAAGGUAGGCAGCAGAAAGAAUUUGACCAGCAUGGCUACUUCAUAUCUUGGAAAGCAGUUUUUAAGACAAAACACUGGAGGUGAUCAGACUUCCUGAAUAGAGAAAGCUUACGUGCUUUGUUACAUUGGGGAACAACUGAAGAGAUUCUUGACUCUGAACCUUUUGGAGCUUGGUCCAUGUUGCCACAAGGAGUGUUGGCUUUGUUUUUCCACUUAAAAACUUUAUUUAUAAAAAGGGAAUGUAGUUUUCAUAUUAGGUUUUUAUUUCCUUUCGAGCAGUUGGGGCUAGGAAGUAUAUGUUGGCACUAGAAACAUUGUCAAGAUUUGUUCAGUGGUGUGGGUAUGCACAUGUUCCGUAGGUAUGCACAACACAGCCAUGUAAUAUCAAUAUAUCCCAAGUUAAUGAAAGUGUUCAUUUACAUAGCUAAUGGAGACCUUUGCAUUUUGAUCCAAAGAACGUAGGAGGAUGUUCUUAGUCUGUCUCAAAGCUCUGUGUGUUUACAUAUUAUUUCUGUAGAUUAUUUUCAGAAGUAAGUUUUGCUUCCAUGGUAAGAGUGAGCACUUUGGCUUAUGUAUAAGUUGGAAAUAAUCGUUAGUUUUUAAUAUGUACCUCAUGGGGAAAUUUCUUAGACAUAUGCAAGCAAAUGAAAAUAAUUAGGGUGAGUGGUAACUAUUUUCUAAAAUUUUAUCUUUAUUUGUAAGAAGUCAUUUACUUAAGGCCCAGUUAAUAUAAAUGGAAUCAUCAUAGUUUAUUUAAGGAAUACACAGAGAUUGCUGCUGUUCUAUUUAUUUUACAGAAAGAAUAGCUAGAUUGAAAGCUCUUCAGUGGAACUUGAACUUAUCAAUCUAUCUUUUACCACUAAAAGAGCAUUAUUUUCAUGUCAUAAUAGGAAUAAUCAUUUACAUACUUGGCAUAAUAAAUGUCUAAAAGAUUUUAUUUUCUGAAUCUAUGUUUUUUCUUGCUAUACUGGGGAUAUUGUAAACUAUGUAUUUGUAUUAAUGGUAUUUCUUAAAGCAAUAGAUGUAACUGUAAACUAAACCAAUAUACAAACUAUUGUGGGCAUCUGUAAAUUCUGUUGUAGGUACUAUAAACUUUGUUGAAAUCUUAAUGAGCAGAUUAUGUUGUGAAUAUAUUUGUACAUUGUUAAAAUAUUUUUAAAGAUUAUUUGUUUAAUUGAAUUAGUGUCUUAUUGGAGUGAUAGCUUUGAAGGUGCAAUACUUUGUAUUUGUAUAAAAUUCCUCUGUUUACCAGGCAAAAA